rnacentral:rRNA from 1 species
GACGAACGCUGGCGGCGUGCCUAACACAUGCAAGUCGAACGGAGUGUUUAUUUAUAAACACUUAGUGGCGAACGGGUGAGUAACGCGUAGACAACCUACCCUCUAGAUGGGGACAACACCGCGAAAGUGGUGCUAAUACCGAAUGUUGUAAUGUUAUUGCAUAAUGAUAUUACUAAAGGUGGCCUCUAUAUAAAAGCUACCGCUAGAAGAUGGGUCUGCGUCUGAUUAGCUAGUUGGUGAGAUAACAGCUCACCAAGGCAAUGAUCAGUAGCCGGUCUGAGAGGAUGAACGGCCACACUGGGACUGAGACACGGCCCAGACUCCUACGGGAGGCAGCAGUGGGGAAUCUUCCGCAAUGGACGAAAGUCUGACGGAGCAACGCCGCGUGAGUGAAGAAGGUUUUCGGAUCGUAAAGCUCUGUCUUCAAGGACGAAUGUAGAUAUUGUGAAUAAUGAUAUUUAAUGACGGUACUUGAGGAGGAAGCCACGGCUAACUACGUGCCAGCCGCCGCCGUAA